AUAGGCCAUGUCAAACUAACCUAAUUGCAUUCUACGAAGAAGUAAGUAGAAGUAUAGAUCAGGUUGUUGAAGUGGAUGUGAUCUACUUGGAUUUUGCCAAGGCAUUUGAUACGGUUCCUCACAAUAGGUUAGUCUUCAAACUAAAAGAAAUUGGUCUAGAUGAAUAUUCUUGUUCUUGGGUAGAACAUUGGCUUAAGGAUAGAAUACGAGUUGUCAUUAAUGAUAAAUUUUCUGGCUGGACAAAAGUGGUAAGUGGUAUGCCUCAGGGUUCUGUUUUGGGACCGCUUCUAUUUAACAUAUUUAUAAAUGAUCUUGAAAUAGGCAUUGAAAGCCAUGUAUCAGUGUUUGCAGAUGACACAAAACUUUGUUAAGUAAUAAAAUGUGAGCAGGAUAUUGCUUUGCUACAGAGGGAUUUGGAUAGAUUGGGGGACUGGGCACUAAAAUGGCAGAUUAAAUUUAACGUAGAGAAAUGCAAAGUUAUGCACUUCGGGGUUAAGAAUGCACAAGCAACUUACACACUAAAUGGUAGUGAAUUAGGGAUAACCACACACGAGAAGGAUUUCGGAAUUGUUAUAGAUAACAAAUUAGGCAGCAAUAUGCAAUGUCAAUCUGCAGUUGCUAAGGCCAGUAAGGUUUUGUCAUGUAUAAAUAGGGGCAUAAAUUCUCGGGAUGAAAAUAUAAUUUUGC
rnacentral:lncRNA from 1 species